rnacentral:rRNA from 1 species
GAUGAACACUGGCGGCGUGCCUAAUACAUGCAAGUCGAGCGAACAGACGAGAGUGCUUGCACUCUCUGACGUUAGCGGCGGACGGGUGAGUAACACGUGGGUAACCUACCUAUAAGACUGGGAUAACUUCGGGAAACCGGAGCUAAUACCGGAUAAUAUUUAGCUUCGCAUGAAGCAAUAGUGAAAGACGGUUCUGCUGUCACUUAUAGAUGGACCCGCGGUGUAUUAGCUAGUUGGUGAGGUAACGGCUCACCAAGGCAACGAUACAUAGCCGACCUGAGAGGGUGAUCGGCCACACUGGGACUGAGACACGGCCCAGACUCCUACGGGAGGCAGCAGUAGGGAAUCUUCCGCAAAGGACGAAAGUCUGACGGAGCAAUGCCGCGUGAGUGAAGAAGGUUUUCGGAUCGUAAAACUCUGUUGUAAGGGAAGAACAAGUACGUUAGUAACUGAACGUACCUUGACGGUACCUUACCAGAAAGCCACGGCUAACUACGUG